rnacentral:rRNA from 1 species
GAUGAACGCUGGCGGCGUGCCUAAUACAUGCAAGUCGAGCGAACAGACGAGGAGCUUGCUCCUCUGACGUUAGCGGCGGACGGGUGAGUAACACGUGGAUAACCUACCUAUAAGACUGGGAUAACUUCGGGAAACCGGAGCUAAUACCGGAUAAUAUAUUGAACCGCAUGGUUCAAUAGUGAAAGACGGUUUUGCUGUCACUUAUAGAUGGAUCCGCGCCGCAUUAGCUAGUUGGUAAGGUAACAGCUUACCAAGGCAACGAUGCGUAGCCGACCUGAGAGGGUGAUCGGCCACACUGGAACUGAGACACGGUCCAGACUCCUACGGGAGGCAGCAGUAGGGAAUCUUCCGCAAUGGGCGAAAGCCUGACGGAGCAACGCCGCGCGAGUGAUGAAGGUCUUCGGAUCGUAAAACUCUGUUAUUAGGGAAGAACAAAUGUGUAAGUAACUAUGCACGUCUUGACGGUACCUAAUCAGAAAGCCACGGCUAACUACGCG